rnacentral:rRNA from 1 species
UACGUAGGGUGCGAGCGUUAAUCGGAAUUACUGGGCGUAAAGCGUGCGCAGGCGGUUUUGUAAGCCAGAUGUGAAAGCCCCGGGCUUAACCUGGGAAGUGGCAUUUGGGACUGCAAGGCUGGAGUGUGGCAGGAGGAGACUGGAAUUCCGUGGUGUAGCAGUGAAAAUGCGUAGAUAUCAGGAGGAAUACCGAUGGCGAAGGCAGGUCUCUGGGCUGACACUGACGCUCAUGACACGAAAGCGUGGGGGAGCAAACAGGG